GGGGAUGUAAAGGUUUCGACGGGGGAUGCGAACCCUGAUAAGCGAGCGGCGGUGCGUAACCGCCAUAAAAUCCGCAAACUUAAAAUAACUGACAAAAAAACAGUUGCUUUAGCUGCUUAAUGCAGCUCGUCUCCGCACAGAGUACCUCGGCUGUGUACGAGGCGUCGACCAGAGGUAAAGGUGAACAGGGCUUCGCUUCGCGCCCUGUCAUCACUCAGAAGCUACCGAACCUGUGAGCCUGUCGUUAGGCGCUCAGGCAAGGGAAUAUCAAUAUAGCGACUGCGCUCGGAGAAAGUCACGGCAAACAUCUUUCGGACAGGAGUUCGAUUCUCCUCAUCUCCACCA
rnacentral:tmRNA from 1 species